rnacentral:rRNA from 1 species
CCUACGGGUGGCAGCAGUAGGGAAUAUUGCUCAAUGGGGGAAACCCUGAAGCAGCAACGCCGCGUGGAGGAUGAAGGUUUUAGGAUUGUAAACUCCUUUUGUGAGAGAAGAUAAUGACGGUAUCUGACGACUAAUCACCGGCUAACUCCGUGCGAGCAGCCGCGGUCAUACGGAGGGUGCAAGCGUUACUCGGAAUCACUGGGCGUAAAGAGUGCGCAGGCGGGCUUGUAAGUCAGAUGUGAAAUCCUGUAGCUUAACUCCAGAACUGCAUUUGAAACUAUGAGUCUAGAGUGUGGGAGAGGUAGGUGGAAUUCUUGGUGUAGCGGUAAAAUGCGUAGAUAUCAAGAGGAAUACUCAUUGCGAAGGCGACCUACUGGAACAUUACUGACGCUCAUGCACGAAAGCGUGGGGAGCAAACAGGAUUAGAUACCCGGGUAGUC